rnacentral:rRNA from 1 species
GGAUUUCCUGGUGUAAGCGGUGAAAUGCUGCAGAUAUCAGGACGGAACACCGAUGGCGAAGGCAGGUCUCUGUGUCUGUUACUGACGCUGAGGAGCGAAAGCAUGGGGAGCGAACAGGAUUAGAUACCCUGGUAGUCCAUGCCGUAAACGUUGGGCACUAGGUGUGGGGGACAUUCCACGUUUUCCGCGCCGUAGCUAACGCAUUAAGUGCCCCGCCUGGGGAGUACGGCCGCAAGGCUAAAACUCAAAGGAAUUGACGGGGGCCCGCACAAGCGGCGGAGCAUGCGGAUUAAUUCGAUGCAACGCGAAGAACCUUACCAAGGCUUGACAUUCACCGGACCGCCCCAGAGAUGGGGUUUCCCUUCGGGGCUGGUGGACAGGUGGUGCAUGGUUGUCGUCAGCUCGUGUCGUGAGAUGUUGGGUUAAGUCCCGCAACGAGCGCAACCCUCGUUCUAUGUUGCCAGCACGUGAUGGUGGGGACUCAUAGGAGACUGCCGGGGUCAACUCGGAGGAAGGUGGGGAUGACGUCAAAUCAUCAUGCCCCUUAUGUCUUGGGCUUCACGCAUGCUACAAUGGCCGGUACAAAGGGUUGCGAUACUGUGAGGUGGAGCUAAUCCCAAAAAGCCGGUCUCAGUUCGGAUUGAGGUCUGCAACUCGACCUCAUGAAGUCGGAGUCGCUAGUAAUCGCAGAUCAGCAACGCUGCGGUGAAUACGUUCCCGGGCCUUGUACACACCGCCCGUCAAGUCACGAAAGUUGGUAACACCCGAAGCCGGUGGCCUAACCCCUUGUGGGAGGGAGCCGUCGAAGGUGGGACUGGCGAUUGGGACUAAGUCGUAACAAGGUAACAUAGAACGAGGGUGCGCUC